rnacentral:rRNA from 1 species
AUUGAACGCUGGCGGCAUGCCUUACACAUGCAAGUCGAACGGUAACAGGUCUUCGGAUGCUGACGAGUGGCGAACGGGUGAGUAAUGCAUCGGAACGUGCCCAGUAGUGGGGGAUAGCCCGGCGAAAGCCGGAUUAAUACCGCAUACGACCUGAGGGUGAAAGGGGGGGAUCGCAAGACCUCUCGCUAUUGGAGCGGCCGAUGGCAGAUUAGGUAGUUGGUGGGGUAAAGGCCUACCAAGCCUCCGAUCUGUAGCUGGUCUGAGGGGACGAUCAGCCACACUGGGACUGCGAAACGGCCCAGACUCCUACGGGAGGCAGCAGUGGGGAAUUUUGGACAAUGGGCGAAAGCCGGAUCCAGCAAUGCCGCGUGAAGUACGAAGGCCUUCGGGUUGUAAACUGCUUUUGUACGGAGCGAAACGGCUUUCACUAAUACUGGGGGCUAAUGACGGUACCGUAAGAAUAAGCACCGGCUAACUACGUGCCAGCCGCCGCCGUAA